AGGUGAGAGAACCGGUAUUGAAUCACCAUAUUACAGAUGAGGAAACUGAGGCCCAGAGAAGUUAAGUGAUUUACUCGAGGCUCGCAGCCAGCGCCUAAAGAAUCAGAAUCUACCUCCCCAUGGGACAAUCACCCAGGGUACUGAGUUUCUCGAUGAGAGAGUACCAAGCGCUUACUGUGUGCAGAGUGCUGUAUUAAGUCCUGGGAGAGAAUACACAGGUCAGAAUUAGUCAGGUCCCUUGUCCCUCUGGGGCUUAUUCUGAGAUUUCCUUGUCUGUGAUCCUGACUCGGUGCUUGGUGUUAAGUUUUGCAUAGAGGUGACACUGGUGGAAUUGUCUUAAACGUUGUUUGUGGUGUCUGGGGUAGCUUCAAAGCCAUAAAGAAGGUUGGGAACUUACAACGGCUCUCUGCUGCUUCAGUUUGGUCUGAAUCUUGAUAUUGCAAUGCUGGCAGAAUCUUCUUUCUGUCCAUUUCCUAGCCUGCUCGAUGCAGUUUUUCACCUCCUUGCCUCGCCUCAACAUUUGAAAACUUUAGACAAGAAAUUGAAAUCCGUGACUGCAUCAACUUCUGGGACUGUGAUGGAGCGCUUUGGCUGUUGUUUGCCAGGUGUGGGCUGGGACCCUAACUAUUAUCUUCUUCUCACUAACAGUCCAUCCACAGCACUUUCCUGAUUCUGAGAAGUCACUCUUCAUCACCUACAAGCAUCUGCUGGUUGAUUGGUAGCAUUUAUCAACUGCCUGCUGGAUGCAAAACACUUUAUCAUGUCCCGGGGUGAGGAUAAAAUUUAGAAGGCAUACUCCUUGCCCUCCAGGAUCUUAUGGUUCUUAUGGUCUAGUACAGGAGACAGACACAAAAUUAUUUAUAAACUGAUGAAGAGAAAGGAAAAAAAUGGACAGGUGGAUGAGUAUUUGCUUAAACAGGGGUUUUAAGUAAUAAUGGUUUUAUUGGUGUGUGAUUAUCUCCUCUAACUAGAAUUUUGUUGGAGAUGGAGAAAAGAGAUGGCAUGGGCUAACUCUAACCUGGCUAACUCCUUCCAUAGAGGAGUCUUAAGAUCUUUACUUGUGAUCCAGACAGCCAAACUUUUAUCAAGAGUCGCCCAAGUCCAAGAUGAUGAUAAUGAUGUCAAAUGUUUUCGUACAGUCUACGAACACCAUACCGAGGUCUUGAUGUUGUGGUCUGCAAUUUUUUGUGUAUCUGACAAAGAUCAAAGACCAUGGAGCUGGGCCUUGCUGAGAUUUGAAGCUGCUUUGUGGUUUUUGGGACACGUAAUUAGGGUGUUCUUCUGUAGUUGCUUCAGAAGGGCUCUCAAACUCAAAUCUCACCAAUAGUAGAGGGCAAGGUGAUCCCAUACUAAUAUCCCCCUACACUGUAAGCUCCUUCAAUAAUAGAGUUGGUAGACACGACCAACUCUACAAGGGCUACACAAUCUGCUCACUUCAUUUAGGCAAGAAAUGUCUACCUAGUCUGUUGUAUGGUACUCUCCUAAGUGCUUAGUACAGUGCUCUGCACACAACAAGGGCUCAGCAAAUACUAUUGAUUGAUUGUCUGUUAGCCCCCUCUCCCUCUCCAAGUUGGUGGUAUGAGGGGAAUCCUUUAGCAUCUUGUCAGGAAACCUUGGAGAAGGGGACCGAAUGCGUGUUUCUUCCUCUACUUGUAGUUCUCGACUGGUGAAUUCUCAGAUCUGGGAACUUUGCCCUUCUUGGCUCUGAUUGUAGUAAGGAUUUCAUGUGGUGUGGGAUGGAAAGCCAUGACUUCACUCAUGAGGAGGAGACAAUGCCUUGUGGUCGUGUGACCAGAGUUGCGGGUGCCCCUCGCCCAAGCCCCAUCUGUGGGGCACUACAUAUCCUGUAGAAGGAGUGGAGGUCCUGUACUCCAGUGGCUCUGAAUCCCUGCUUUCCUGGUCACUUUUGGACCCUGUCCAGAGCAUUCAGAAGACCAUAGGAUUGGAGGGCUGGAAAAUCAGUUAUACUCUUCUUUCCUGUCACUUUUUUGCCAGGGAAAAUCAGAAAAAUUUCAGGGGAAAUCUAAAAUCUUGACUGUCUUUCAUUGUGUGGUCUUAUCUCCAUCAGUUAUAUUUAUUGAGCGCUUACUAUUUGCAAGGCAUUGUACUAAGCACUUAGAGUACAACACAACAAUAUAACAGACACAUUCCCUGCCUACAAAGAGCUUCCAAAUCUAGAAGAAGAGUUGUACAUCCAUCUCCACUAAUUCUCACUUCUCCUAUUCAGAUUUUCCCCCACCCCCCCCUUUAACUACCCACCUUUCUCUGCUGACCUGAACCCCUGAAACCACUUCCCAACCCCUUGGCUGCUAGAGAUCUGCGCAGGUAAAACUGGACCUGCUCGUUGGCCUCGAGGAAUGAGCGUGGACCGGCGAGUGAGGCGACUGAGAUUUUAAGCCCAGUUCCACCACUUGCCUGCUGUGUGACCUUGGGGUCCGUGAUAAUUUGGAUUGGCUUUCCCUGCGACUUCUAUUUGAUUUGGGUUGCAUUCCCGUGAGCUCUCGACAAAUCCGAAACAAACCUUCCUUACCGGCCCUUGAUUCCUGCUCUAAAUUAACAUGAUGUAGCCUGACAGGAAAAAGACCAUGUCAUUCGAGACUCCUUCCUGACAGCAACACCCAUCAAGGGGCACAGACCCUUGGCAUCACCGUAAGGAGGCGGGACCUGUCUACAUUUUGUUUAUUGGUUUCUCGAAAUAAUUUGGAAACAAUGAAAAAGCUGCACUUGCUUAAGCCUUCUCGGCCUUCUAGUACCGAAGGAUCCAUUCCCCAGCGUCUCACUGUGGAAUUCCAUGGGCCAGGAUGGGAAUGACAUCACACUGCCAAAGGAAUGUUCACCAAAUAAAGCAGCUUCUUUUGUCAGAAAGAAACCCUGAACUCCCAGCACUGGAGGGAAAUAACUACCAAAUGGAAUGUGCCCUGUGAGUGAUGAAGAAAGAAUCAAGAAUGAGAAUAUAUGCAAAACUCAAGUGCAUUGAAGUCAAAACGUAUACUACUUCUUGGAAGCCAAGUACUCAAUUUCUCAUCUGUAGGAUUCAAUCCACUCAUCUACAUUUUUGAUUGGGGGGAAAUAGUGCUCCCCUUGUGGGGUCACCUCAGGGUGUAAGAACACAUUAAAGUUUUAAUUAAAAGAGAGUAAAGUAUGUCCCAGCUACAAUUAGAGCUGCAGCAAAUGAGAUUGUAUAUUAAAAACUCAUCAACUAAAA